GCUGAAAAUCAAAUCGCCCCGAAAGAACAUCAGAUUUGGUAAGCAUUCACACCGACUUGUCCCUUUCUUCCGUCUCCCGCCGCCUUCGAUGACCUUCGCCGGCGCUUCACGCCGCCGGCGAGUAUCUGGUUCCCAUCCCCCUCUCCCUCUCAUAGCCAUCGUCCUCCUGCUAGUCUUCCCACCUCCUCCCCGCGCUUACGCGCUCCGCGUCCCACUGCGCGAGGUCGCCUCCCUCCUCUCCCUCUCCCACUCCCUCCUCACCCGCGUCGCGGUCGCCCGCGCCGACCGGGGGGACGCCGCUGCCGCUGCCCGCGCUCGCCGAAUCGCCUCGCACCUGUCCAUUCUCUCCUCUCGCGGUGCGUGGGCACUCGGCUGGGACUACCUCCGCCACUAUGCUUUCUCCUCCGUCACCGGAUGCGGCUUCUCCUGCGCCACUGCCGCCGCCCGCCUCCUCGCCGCUGCGGCGGAGGCCUCGCGCCUAAAGUCACCGGUCGAGGCGGCCCAGUGGCUGCGCCGUAAUUACGGUGACCUCCUAGCCGCCGCUACUCAGCUCCUAAACGGCCUCCUCUCUACCUUCUCCGAGCAGGGGCCGCUAAGGGAGGUGGUGUUGGAUGUGAAGUGGGAGGUGGAGGAAGGGGGGUUGCUGAAGGAUUGCCUUCAGGCGGGAGCCAAAGACUUGGAGGGCUUGCUUAUCAUUGCCAAAGAUCUCUUUGGUGCUUCAAGGGCUUCUUCACGCCACAGUGAACUCUGAGGUGAGUCCUGACCAAGAAACUACAGCCGCUCCAUUCUGUCCUCCACCGAUGCAGAAUGCUUCAGAUCCAACAGUUCACCUACACAAUUAAAGCUGCUCCAGUUUGGUGACUCUGCAUACAACACAUCAUGUUAAGCUAUCUUAUCUCUUCGGGAAAAAGGUCCUUCGUCCAUGCAUAGGAAAAAAUUCUGUAAUUAAAGGCUAAUUGACUUACAACAUCUACCAUAGAUCUUAUAUUCCUUUCGUUCCAAGUAUCUGCCACUUUGCUAGCAAUUUGAAGCCUGGAAGCUUUACAGUUGGAUUUUGAACACAGUGGAAUGAGGGAGUUAACAGGACUGCCGCUGGAUAUCCAUGUUCAGAACUGUGCAUUGUCUAAUUAAACAACAAUCUCCGUCAUAUUUUCCCAAUAAUUUUCUGCUAAAUGCACCCUUAAACUUAAAUACAGUAUAUGCUUGUACAACUGUGAACUCUGUUAGCGAUGAUUAGGUCGAUAGUGUUUGAAUUGCAUUGUUGAUGGUCAGCUAGUUAUAUUAUUUGAAAAUUCUCAUUUAUCCUAGAGUAGUGAAGCCUUGUGCUAUUGUUGUUAGCCACUGCGAACUUUAUACGGAGUAGUUACCACG